GACGAACGCUGGCGGCGUGCCUAAUACAUGCAAGUUGAGCGCUGAAGGUUGGUACUUGUACCAACUGGAUGAGCAGCGAACGGGUGAGUAACGCGUGGGGAAUCUGCCUUUGAGCGGGGGACAACAUUUGGAAACGAAUGCUAAUACCGCGUAAAAACUUUAAACACAAGUUUUAAGUUUGAAAGAUGCAAUUGCAUCACUCAAAGAUGAUCCCGCGUUGUAUUAGCUAGUUGGUGAGGUAAAGGCUCACCAAGGCGAUGAUACAUAGCCGACCUGAGAGGGUGAUCGGCCACAUUGGGACUGAGACACGGCCCAAACUCCUACGGGAGGCAGCAGUAGGGAAUCUUCGGCAAUGGACGAAAGUCUGACCGAGCAACGCCGCGUGAGUGAAGAAGGUUUUCGGAUCGUAAAACUCUGCUGGUAGAGAAGAACGUUGGUGAGAGUGGAAAGCUCAUCAAGUGACGGUAACUACCCAGAAAGGGACGGCUAACUACGUG
rnacentral:rRNA from 1 species